rnacentral:rRNA from 1 species
GUGGUAAUGCCGGAUGCUCCAGUUGACCGCAUGGUCCUCUGGGAAAGCUUUUGCGGUAUGGGAUGGGGUCGCGUCCUAUCAGCUUGAUGGCGGGGUAACGGCCCACCAUGGCUUCGACGGGUAGCCGGCCUGAGAGGGCGACCGGCCACAUUGGGACUGAGAUACGGCCCAGACUCCUACGGGAGGCAGCAGUGGGGAAUAUUGCACAAUGGGCGCAAGCCUGAUGCAGCGACGCCGCGUGCGGGAUGACGGCCUUCGGGUUGUAAACCGCUUUUGACUGGGAGCAAGCCCUUCGGGGUGAGUGUACCUUUCGAAUAAGCACCGGCUAACUACGUGCCAGCAGCCGCGGUAAUACGUAGGGUGCAAGCGUUAUCCGGAAUUAUUGGGCGUAAAGGGCUCGUAGGCGGUUCGUCGCGUCCGGUGUGAAAGUCCAUCGCUUAACGGUGGAUCCGCGCCGGGUACGGGCGGGCUUGAGUGCGGUAGGGGAGACUGGAAUUCCCGGUGUAACGGUGGAAUGUGUAGAUAUCGGAAAGAACACCA